UUAAGGGCGCACGGUGGAUGCCUUGGCACUAGAAGCCGAUGAAGGACGUUACUAACGACGAUAUGCUUUGGGGAGCUGUAAGUAAGCUUUGAUCCAGAGAUUUCCGAAUGGGGAAACCCAGCAUGAGUUAUGUCAUGUUAUCGAUAUGUGAAUACAUAGCAUAUCAGAAGGCACACCCGGAGAACUGAAACAUCUUAGUACCCGGAGGAAGAGAAAGAAAAUUCGAUUCCCUUAGUAGCGGCGAGCGAAACGGGAAGAGCCCAAACCAACAAGCUUGCUUGUUGGGGUUGUAGGACACUCUAUACGGAGUUACAAAGGACGACAUUAGACGAAUCAUCUGGAAAGAUGAAUCAAAGAAGGUAAUAAUCCUGUAGUCGAAAAUGUUGUCUCUCUUGAGUGGAUCCUGAGUACGACGGAGCACGUGAAAUUCCGUCGGAAUCUGGGAGGACCAUCUCCUAAGGCUAAAUACUCUCUAGUGACCGAUAGUGAACCAGUACCGUGAGGGAAAGGUGAAAAGCACCCCGGAAGGGGAGUGAAAUAGAACCUGAAACCGUGUGCUUACAAGUAGUCAGAGCCCGUUAAUGGGUGAUGGCGUGCCUUUUGUAGAAUGAACCGGCGAGUUACGAUUUGAUGCAAGGUUAAGCAGUAAAUGUGGAGCCGUAGCGAAAGCGAGUCUGAAUAGGGCGUUUAGUAUUUGGUCGUAGACCCGAAACCAGGUGAUCUACCCUUGGUCAGGUUGAAGUUCAGGUAACACUGAAUGGAGGACCGAACCGACUUACGUUGAAAAGUGAGCGGAUGAACUGAGGGUAGCGGAGAAAUUCCAAUCGAACCUGGAGAUAGCUGGUUCUCUCCGAAAUAGCUUUAGGGCUAGCCUCAAGUGAUGAUUAUUGGAGGUAGAGCACUGUUUGGACGAGGGGCCCCUCUCGGGUUACCGAAUUCAGACAAACUCCGAAUGCCAAUUAAUUUAACUUGGGAGUCAGAACAUGGGUGAUAAGGUCCGUGUUCGAAAGGGAAACAGCCCAGACCACCAGCUAAGGUCCCAAAAUAUAUGUUAAGUGGAAAAGGAUGUGGCGUUGCCCAGACAACUAGGAUGUUGGCUUAGAAGCAGCCAUCAUUUAAAGAGUGCGUAAUAGCUCACUAGUCGAGUGACACUGCGCCGAAAAUGUACCGGGGCUAAACAUAUUACCGAAGCUGUGGAUUGUCCUUUGGACAAUGGUAGGAGAGCGUUCUAAGGGCGUUGAAGCAUGAUCGUAAGGACAUGUGGAGCGCUUAGAAGUGAGAAUGCCGGUGUGAGUAGCGAAAGACGGGUGAGAAUCCCGUCCACCGAUUGACUAAGGUUUCCAGAGGAAGGCUCGUCCGCUCUGGGUUAGUCGGGUCCUAAGCUGAGGCCGACAGGCGUAGGCGAUGGAUAACAGGUUGAUAUUCCUGUACCACCUAUAAUCGUUUUAAUCGAUGGGGGGACGCAGUAGGAUAGGCGAAGCGUGCGAUUGGAUUGCACGUCUAAGCAGUAAGGCUGAGUAUUAGGCAAAUCCGGUACUCGUUAAGGCUGAGCUGUGAUGGGGAGAAGACAUUGAGUCUUCGAGUCGUUGAUUUCACACUGCCGAGAAAAGCCUCUAGAUAGAAAAUAGGUGCCCGUACCGCAAACCGACACAGGUAGUCAAGAUGAGAAUUCUAAGGUGAGCGAGCGAACUCUCGUUAAGGAACUCGGCAAAAUGACCCCGUAACUUCGGGAGAAGGGGUGCUCUUUAGGGUUAACGCCCAGAAGAGCCGCAGUGAAUAGGCCCAAGCGACUGUUUAUCAAAAACACAGGUCUCUGCUAAACCGUAAGGUGAUGUAUAGGGGCUGACGCCUGCCCGGUGCUGGAAGGUUAAGAGGAGUGGUUAGCUUCUGCGAAGCUACGAAUCGAAGCCCCAGUAAACGGCGGCCGUAACUAUAACGGUCCUAAGGUAGCGAAAUUCCUUGUCGGGUAAGUUCCGACCCGCACGAAAGGCGUAACGAUUUGGGCACUGUCUCAACGAGAGACUCGGUGAAAUCAUAGUACCUGUGAAGAUGCAGGUUACCCGCGACAGGACGGAAAGACCCCGUGGAGCUUUACUGUAGCCUGAUAUUGAAAUUCGGCACAGCUUGUACAGGAUAGGUAGGAGCCUUUGAAACGUGAGCGCUAGCUUACGUGGAGGCGCUGGUGGGAUACUACCCUAGCUGUGUUGGCUUUCUAACCCGCACCACUUAUCGUGGUGGGAGACAGUGUCAAGCGGGCAGUUUGACUGGGGCGGUCGCCUCCUAAAAGGUAACGGAGGCGCUCAAAGGUUCCCUCAGAAUGGUUGGAAAUCAUUCAUAGAGUGUAAAGGCAUAAGGGAGCUUGACUGCGAGACCUACAAGUCGAGCAGGGUCGAAAGACGGACUUAGUGAUCCGGUGGUUCCGCAUGGAAGGGCCAUCGCUCAACGGAUAAAAGCUACCCCGGGGAUAACAGGCUUAUCUCCCCCAAGAGUUCACAUCGACGGGGAGGUUUGGCACCUCGAUGUCGGCUCAUCGCAUCCUGGGGCUGUAGUCGGUCCCAAGGGUUGGGCUGUUCGCCCAUUAAAGCGGUACGCGAGCUGGGUUCAGAACGUCGUGAGACAGUUCGGUCCCUAUCCGUCGUGGGCGUAGGAAAUUUGAGAGGAGCUGUCCUUAGUACGAGAGGACCGGGAUGGACAUACCUCUGGUGUACCAGUUGUCGUGCCAACGGCAUAGCUGGGUAGCUAUGUGUGGACGGGAUAAGUGCUGAAAGCAUCUAAGCAUGAAGCCCCCCUCAAGAUGAGAUUUCCCAACUUCGGUUAUAAGAUCCCUCAAAGAUGAUGAGGUUAAUAGGUUCGAGGUGGAAGCAUGGUGACAUGUGGAGCUGACGAAUACUAAUCGAUCGAAGACUUAAUC
rnacentral:rRNA from 1 species